rnacentral:rRNA from 1 species
CAGCCGCCGCGGGAACACGAAGGGUGCAAGCGUUACUCGGAAUUACUGGGCGUAAAGCGUGCGUAGGUGGUGGUUUAAGUCCGUUGUGAAAGCCCUGGGCUCAACCUGGGAAUUGCAGUGGAUACUGGGUCACUAGAGUGUGGUAGAGGAUAGUGGAAUUUCCGGUGUAGCAGUGAAAUGCGUAGAGAUCGGAAGGAACAUCUGUGGCGAAGGCGACUAUCUGGGCCAACACUGACACUGAGGCACGAAAGCGUGGGGAGCAAACAGGAUUAGAUACCCCCGUAGUCCCUGUCUCUUAUAC